rnacentral:rRNA from 1 species
CCUACGGGAGGCUGCAGUAGGGAAUUUUGCGCAAUGGGCGAAAGCCUGACGCAGCAACGCCGCGUGAUCGAGACGCCCUUCGGGGUGUAAAGAUCUGUCAGUGGGGACGACACUUGACGGUACCCACAGAGGAAGCACCGGCUAACUCCGUGCCAGCAGCCGCGGUAAUACGGGGGGUGCAAGCGUUGUCCGGAAUCAUUGGGGGUAAAGAGGUCGUAGGCGGCACGUAAAGUCCGGUGGUAAAGGCAGAGGCUCAACUUCUGUACGGCACUGGAUACUUGCGAGCUAGAGUGCGGGAGAGGUAAAGGGAAUGCCUGGUGUAGCGGUGAAAUGCUUAGAUAUCAGGAGGAACAACGGUGGCGUAAGCGGUUUACUGGGCCGUAAUUGACGCUGAGGAACGAAAGCCAGGGUAGCAAAUGGGAUUAGAUACCCGAGUAGUC